GACGAACGCUGGCGGCGUGCUUAACACAUGCAAGUCGAGCGGAAAGGCCCUUCGGGGUACUCGAGCGGCGAACGGGUGCGUAACACGUGAGUAACCUGCCCCAGACUUUGGGAUAACCCUCGGAAACGGGGGCUAAUACCGGAUACGACACAGCUUCGCAUGGGGUCUGUGUGGAAAGUUUUUCGGUUUGGGAUGGGCUCGCGGCCUAUCAGCUUGUUGGUGGGGUGAUGGCCUACCAAGGCGACGACGGGUAGCCGGCCUGAGAGGGCGACCGGCCACACUGGGACUGAGACACGGCCCAGACUCCUACGGGAGGCAGCAGUGGGGAAUAUUGCACAAUGGGCGGAAGCCCGAUGCAGCGACGCCGCGUGAGGGAUGACGGCCUUCGGGUUGUAAACCUCUUUCAGCAGGGACGAAGCGUAAGUGACGGUACCUGCAGAAGAAGCGCCGGCCAACUACGUG
rnacentral:rRNA from 1 species